rnacentral:tRNA from 1 species
CAGCACUAUAGUUAAAAAAUAAUUGAGGUUUUGGGAAUCUCAGGUCCUAAAAAUUUAGGUAGGCUGA